rnacentral:tRNA from 1 species
GCCCGCGUGGUGGAACGGUAGACACAGGGGACUUAAAAUCCCCAGGCCGAUAGGCCGUGCGAGUUCGAAUCUCGCCGCGGGCACCA